UCAAACUUGGUCAUUUAGAGGAAGUAAAAGUCGUAACAAGGUCUCCGUUGGUGAACCAGCGGAGGGAUCAUUACCGAGUUUACAACUCCCAAACCCAGUGUGAACGCUACCAACCUGUUGCCUCGGCGGGAUCUCUGCCCCGGGCGCGUCGCAGCCCCGGACCAAGGCGCCCGCCGGAGGACCAAAAACCCCAAACUCUUGUUGUAGGCCCCCUCGCGGGCUCUCUCUCCUGUCUGAGCCUUUCUCGGCGAACCCCUCCGCGGGCGCCCCGAAAACGAAUCAAAACUUUCAACAACGGAUCUCUUGGUUCUGGCAUCGAUGAAGAACGCAGC
rnacentral:misc_RNA from 1 species